rnacentral:rRNA from 1 species
UACGGAGGGUGCAAGCGUUAUCCGGAUUCACUGGGUUUAAAGGGUGCGUAGGCGGUUUUCUAAGUUUGGUGUGAAAUCUCCCGGCUUAACUGGGAGGGUGCGCCGAAAACUGGAAGGCUUGAGUAUGGGAGAGGUAAGCGGAAUUCCUGGUGUAGCGGUGAAAUGCGUAGAUAUCAGGAGGAACACCUGCGGUGUAGACGGCUUACUGGACCAUAACUGACGCUGAGGCACGAAAGCGUGGGUAGCAAACAGG